rnacentral:rRNA from 1 species
UAGGGAAUCUUCCACAAUGGACUCAAGUCUGAUGGAGCAACACCGCGUGAGUGAAGAAGGGUUUCGGCUCGUAAAACUCUGUUGUUGAAGAAGAACGUGCGUGAGAGUAACUGUUCAUGCAGUGACGGUAUUCAACCAGAAGGUCACGGCUAACUACGUG